CAGAGGUCCCAAGCGUUGUUCGGAUUCAUUGGGCGUAAAGGGUGCGUAGGCGGUAGAGUAAGUUGGAUGUGAAAUCUUGGGGCUUAACCUCAAAAUUGCAUUCAAUACUGCUUUGCUUGAGCGCUGUAGAGGAGAUUGGAAUUUACGGUGUAGCAGUGAAAUGCGUAGAUAUCGUAAGGAACGCCAGUGGCGAAAGCGAAUCUCUGGGCAGCAGCUGACGCUGAGGCACGAAGGCCAGGGGAGCAAACGGGAUUAGAUACCCCGGUAGUCCUGGCAGUAAACGGUGCGCGUUUGGUGUAGGCAGGUUCGACCCUGUCUGCGCCGAAGCUAACGCAUUAAACGCGCCGCCUGGGAAGUACGAUCGCAAGAUUA
rnacentral:rRNA from 1 species